GCUGCAGUGGACAGCAGCAGAGUCUGUCCUCAGAGCAUGUGUGUGGCAGCCCUGCUGCUAGAAAGGGUGGGGUUGCUAUCUGUAAUAGCCACCUCAGGUAGGCAGUUCUUAGGCACUGGGGAGCACAUGCUUUGGCUCCCUUUGUCCCAGGAGCAGCCUCCCUGGUGCGCUGCACUGUUGUUUCUGGGGUGCAGGACACCAUGUGUGCUACAAUGCUGGGGAUCUGGCCACUCCACUGGGUACAACUGGCAUCACACUGCUGCAGCCCUCCAGAGGAAAGACCACGUGGGGACAGAC
rnacentral:lncRNA from 1 species